CUUCUUCGCACCAGUAUUUUUGCAGAACAGAAUUUCGUUUAAAAACUUUUUAAGGUUGAAAUAUUAUAUAUUCGAAUUAUUUAGAUUGAAAUAAAGAAUACUUCUCGAAGAAUUUUCUCGAAUAAGGAGAUAAAAAGAAAGAAGAAUUUCAUUCUAGCCAACGUAGCAUAUAAAGGAACUGCUGAUUAAUCUAGAAAAAGAAGAUUACAUUGGUAAUCAUAUUUGAGAAGGGAAAGGGAAGAAAAAAAGAUUUCGUUCUCGUUACGUUCGAGAACUGACGUAAUUAAAGAUAAAAAAAGAAAAGAUGGGAGGAGGUAGAGAAAGGAGAAGAGAAAAUAUUUGCAUUUUUAAAUCUGUGAUACGAAACGAUAAACGAAGGGAGCGUGUCCUGAUCCGUGAAACGAAAACCGUGCGUGUGCGCGUGUGUGUAUAUUUUACAAGCGAUAGCUAUUUCUAGAUGGCAGAACCGACGAAUCGACGUUUCGCCCUGGGUUUAUAAUAUCCCUCUUCACGGAUCCAGCAUGCAAACGCGUAGUUUUUUAAAACUCGGAUCGAUUCCGGUUUCGAAAACGGGAUAAACUUGGACGAAAAUCAUUCGGUACAGGUGGUCCCGCGACGGGAAACGCAGCUGCCCGGAAUGUUUUUUCGCUUCUGCUCGGCUUUCCCCGGUAAAUCGAUAGAACGAGGUCGAGCGGAGCCCCGAGGACCGCGAUUCUUUUUCUCUUCGAUCCGAAGCGGAAUCGGACGAAACCCGUGGGGAGGAUGACGAGCGCCCCGGUUAAUUAUUCAGAAAUUUCACGAACUUAUAAAUAAUUGUGCGCGUUAUAAUUGUAUCAACGUUGGAUAGGCUCUGCCCACUUUUCGUGACUGUGCGCGUGGAAUCGAAUCGACGCGAUCUGUCGUCCAUCUCGAUGACUCACCGCAACCCUCUUUCAAGACAUUCCUCGAGAAGAAAAGUUUUCUGCGGGGUUCCACCGAUGACUCACCCUCCAGAUUCAUCCCCUCGAUUCCGACGGUUCGACGAAUUCGCUUUCGCAGCCACGAAAUUGUCUCGAUGUAUAUAUCGUGCAUUAUAGGAAAUUUUUGACUCCUACUUUUUGCUUUAGAGAAAGUAAUAUCUCUAGCGUUGCGACAGAGAGAGAGACAGAGAGAGCGUACAGACGAGAUACGUCACGUGUCUCCUUACGAAUGCGAGAUACGUCGUGUGCAAAAUUCGUACGAAAACCUGGGCUGACGACUCGAUCGCAAACGAUAUAAUAAACGUUUUAGCCGUGUUGCACAUGGGAGCAAUUUGUACAACAAAUUUGUACGAAUACAUAAUAGAGAAGCAAAAGUGACGAGAUAAAAAUGAUACACGUAUUCGAAGUCGAGCUGGAAAUGGAUAAGAAAAAUAGAACGUGAGAUUGUUAUUAUCCAUUAAUCAGAGGGAUAAAAUAUUCCACCGGAAGGGAUUAAAAAAUAUUAUACGAUAUGUAAUGCAUGUUUGAUGCGCAAGUGAUUGAUUUCUGGGAACAAAAUUUCCAUUUUCUCGAUAUCUGUCUCGAUAUCUUUUUCUACGCUUCGGUAAAGAUGGCUGUCAGCUAGAAUAACUUGACAACUAUAAGAUAUAUAUUCUGUAUCGAUAAAUGGAACGGACAUAUUCAUGGUUCAUCCCAUUUUGUAUUGCACGGACAGAUUAUUAAAAUCGAAGAGGAGUUUUUAAAAUGGAGAGAAUUCGAAGAAGGGAAGGAAAUAAAAAUAAAGUCUUGUACAAAUGUAUAUUUUAAUCAGAUUCGAGUUAAAUAUUUUACGUGAUAAUAUAUAUAUAUAUAUGUACUAAAUAUUUAUCAUGGUUCGACCAUCGACCAAUUUCAAUCUCUACAAUUUACAUUAACAAGUUAAAUAAUUAUACGAGUUUUAAUCUCGCAAUAUGCGAGUCGCCAUUAAAUAUCGACUCAUAAAAUAAUAAAAGUUGGCUCGAAAAAAAAAAGAAACUAAAAACACGUGACAAUGAGUCGAAAAAAUUAUAAUU